rnacentral:rRNA from 1 species
UACGUAGGGGGCAAGCGUUGUCCGGAUUUAUUGGGCGUAAAGAGCGUGUAGGCGGUUUGGUAGGUCCGCUGUGAAAACUCGAGGCUCAACCUCGAGACGCCGGUGGAAACCAUCAGGCUAGAGUCCGGAAGAGGAGAGUGGAAUUCCUGGUGUAGCGGUGAAAUGCGCAGAUAUCAGGAGGAACACCAGUGGCGAAGGCGGUGGUCUGGGCCGGAACUGACGCUGUAGAGCGAAAGCGUGGGGAGCGAACAGG